rnacentral:tRNA from 1 species
GGGGGAUUAGCUCAGCUGGGAGAGCGACGCGCUGGCAGCGCGUAGGUCAACGGUUCGAUCCCGUUAUCCUCCA